rnacentral:rRNA from 1 species
UGCGUAGUCGGAUCGCCUAUAUGCAGUCGAAGUACCCUACGGCCUUAGUGGCGCACGGGUGCGUAACGCGUGGGAAUCUGCCCUUGGGUUCGGAAUAACUCAGAGAAAUUUGAGCUAAUACCGGAUGAUGUCGCAAGACCAAAGAUUUAUCGCCCGAGGAUGAGCCCGCGUAGGAUUAGCUAGUUGGUGAGGUAAAGGCUCACCAAGGCGACGAUCCUUAGCUGGUCUGAGAGGAUGAUCAGCCACACUGGGACUGAGACACGGCCCAGACUCCUACGGGAGGCAGCAGUGGGGAAUAUUGGACAAUGGGCGAAAGCCUGAUCCAGCAAUGCCGCGUGAGUGAUGAAGGCCCUAGGGUUGUAAAGCUCUUUUACCCGGGAUGAUAAUGACAGUACCGGGAGAAUAAGCCCCGGCUAACUCCGUGCCAGCAGCCGCGGUAAUACGGAGGGGGCUAGCGUUGUUCGGAAUUACUGGGCGUAAAGCGCACGUAGGCGGCUUUGUAAGUCAGAGGUGAAAGCCUGGAGCUCAACUCCAGAACUGCCUUUGAGACUGCAUCGCUUGAAUCCGGGAGAGGUGAGUGGAAUUCCGAGUGUAGAGGUGAAAUUCGUAGAUAUUCGGAAGAACACCAGUGGCGAAGGCGGCUCACUGGACCGGUAUUGACGCUGAGGUGCGAAAGCGUGGGGAGCAAAACAGGAUUUAGAUACCCUGGUAGUCCACGCCGUAAACGAUGAUAACUAGCUGUCCGGGUGCCUGGCAUUUGGGUGGCGCAGCUAAACGCAUUAAGUUAUCCGCCUGGGGAGUACGGCCGCAAGGUUAAAAACUCAAAGGAAUUGACGGGGGCCUGCACAAGCGGUGGAGCAUGUGGGUUAAAUUCAAAGCCACGCGCAGAACCUUACCACCGUUUGACAUGGUAGGACGACUGGCAGAAAUGCCUUUUCUUUCCUUCGGGACCACCCACAGGUGCUGCUUGCUUGUCGUCAGCUCGUGUCGUGAGAAGUUGGGUUAAUUC